rnacentral:tRNA from 1 species
GCCUGGAUGGCUUAGUUGAUUAAGCAUCAGACUUCGACUUUGGCUCAGAUCUCAUGGUUCUUGAGUUGAAGCCUCACUUUGGGCU